GGGGGAAUAUUGCACAAUGGGCGGAAGCCUGAUGCAGCGACGCCGCGUGAGGGAUGACGGCCUUCGGGUUGUAAACCUCUCUCAGUAGGGACGAAGCGUAAGUGACGGUACCUGCAGAAGAAGCACCGGCUAACUACGUGCCAGCAGCCGCGGUAAUACGUAGGGUGCGAGCGUUGUCCGGAAUUACUGGGCGUAAAGAGCUCGUAGGCGGUUUGUCACGUCGUCUGUGAAAUCCUAGGGCUUAACCCUGGACGUGCAGGCGAUACGGGCUGACUUGAGUACUACAGGGGAGACUGGAAUUUCUGGUGUAGCGGUGGAAUGCACAGAUAUCAGGAAGAACACCGAUGGCGAAGGCAGGUCUCUGGGUAGUAACUGACGCUGAGGAGCGAAAGCAUGGGUAGCGAACAGG
rnacentral:rRNA from 1 species